rnacentral:hammerhead_ribozyme from 1 species
AUCCAGCUGACGAGUCCCGAACAGGGCGGAACGUGUGUGCUGGAU